rnacentral:rRNA from 1 species
GGAAGUCGGUUCGACCACGUAGAACACCGAUGGCGGUUAAACCCGUACGGAAGGGGCCGUAGCCNCGGACGAGGAUACAUGAUUGGGGUG